GCCCAGGUGGCGAAAUGGUAGACGCACCAGACUUAGGAUCUGGCGAGCAAUCGUGGAGGUUCAAGUCCUCUCCUGGGCACCA
rnacentral:tRNA from 4 species